GCUACACAUGCAGUCGAGCGGAUGAGUGGAGCUUGCUCCAUGAUUCAGCGGCGGACGGGUGCGUAUUGCCUAGGAAUCUGCCUGGUAGUGGGGGACAACGUUUCGAAAGGAACGCUAAUACCGCAUACGUCCUACGGGAGAAAGCAGGGGACCUUCGGGCCUUGCGCUAUCAGAUGAGCCUAGGUCGGAUUAGCUAGUAGGUGAGGUAAUGGCUCACCUAGGCGACGAUCCGUAACUGGUCUGAGAGGAUGAUCAGUCACACUGGAACUGAGACACGGUCCAGACUCCUACGGGAGGCAGCAGUGGGGAAUAUUGGACAAUGGGCGAAAGCCUGAUCCAGCCAUGCCGCGUGUGUGAAGAAGGUCUUCGGAUUGUAAAGCACUUUAAGUUGGGAGGAAGGGCAGUAAGUUAAUACCUUGCUGUUUUGACGUUACCAACAGAAUAAGCACCGGCUAACUUCGUGCCAGCAGCCGCGGUAAUACGAAGGGUGCAAGCGUUAAUCGGAAUUACUGGGCGUAAAGCGCGCGUAGGUGGUUCAGCAAGUUGGAGGUGAAAUCCCCGGGCUCAACCUGGGAACUGCCUCCAAAACUACUGAGCUAGAGUACGGUAGAGGGUAGUGGAAUUUCCUGUGUAGCGGUGAAAUGCGUAGAUAUAGGAAGGAACACCAGUGGCGAAGGCGACUACCUGGACUGAUACUGACACUGAGGUGCGAAAGCGUGGGGAGCAAACAGGAU
rnacentral:rRNA from 1 species